GUAGGAGGUAAGCCAACAAGGUGUACUGCACAAGAAGAAAACAAUGCAGAGCUUUCAGUUUGGCCAAGAAGACAGGCUAGGUUCAAGGUAGGCACACCUUGAGAAUUUCUAGCUAAUUUCUCUCUAUAGGAAAUAUUUGGUACAAAGUCCAAAUUCAAUGGGUAGUGCCUUGGGCCCAUAGGAACCUAGCCUUAUCAGUAACAGGUUUCACAACAUCUGCUGUUUUCCUAUGAAAGUGUACACACAUAACUAUGAAACCAGGUCAUGAAGUGGGAAGCAUUGAUCAAUUAAAAAGUGUCCUUUGUUUUAUUUUUUUCUUGCAGCAGUACUUGAAGAUUUCUUGUUAACCCCAGCAUAGAGGGUAAGAGUAUACCCUCGGGGUCAGACUCCCCGGUUUAAACUCCUGGGUAACUUAGAAAGUGUUGCCUGUAUUUUCAACGUGUUGGUAGAUUUUUUUCCAUCUGUGAAAUAGGAAACAUAAGCCAACCUCAUCUGCUCAGCUCAUCGGAACACUUACUCUAUUUUAUGGAAUGGAGUGUUGCCCAAUUACAGAAUCUCACAUAAAGUCAAUUGAGGAGAAGCAGAAGGUGCCAAGAGAGCAAGCAAGGGGACACCUAGCCUGAGCCGGGGGCCUCUUGAGAAGGUGAUAUUCAGAGGGAUAGCAGAGACAUGAGCAGCUAAAGUCCAGCAAACAGGGUGAAAGAAGAUGAUAACAGGCUUUCUGGGCUUUGAAAGCAGCCUGAAGGCUGCAGGAACAGAAAGAAGCAACAUGAAUGGUGAAAGAACUGAGGGAAGGCUGGCUUGCCUGGGUCUGGGUCUGGGGAAUAGCAAGCUAGAAUCUGUAGUUGAAGAAGUCAGCAGAGAUCAAGGACCUGGCAAGCCAUGUGAAGGAUUUUGAAUUUUAUUCUGAAUCCAUGAAAAGACUCCCCUUCCAAAAGCGGUGGCUUCUGGAAUUUGCUUCCAAUAAUCCAAGAACACUGGAGAGAGUGGGUGGGGUAUAUGUGAAGCAAAAUUGGUCAUUCAUUGAUAAUUGAAUGAAGCUGGGUGAUGUGUACAUGGAUAUUCAUUAUAUUCUCAAUUUUUGUGAAUGUUUUAAAUUUUUCAUAAUUAAAAAAAGGAAAAAAAUCCCUCCACCUACAGUGAAGAGAAAGGACUGUAGAAGGGUGAGAACAGACUAUGAGGGGCCAGCCUUUGCUGUAGGCCAGGUGAGAGAGAAGAUGAAGUUUUGAACUAAGGUGGUGGCAGCAGGAUCUAAGGGAAGUGAGUAGAUUCUAGUGAUGCUGGGAGCUUGAAUAGAUAGAACUUGGUGAUUAGA